rfam:Hoeflea sp. BAL378 NODE_128, whole genome shotgun sequence.
CAGGCAUGCUGGAGCCCCGCAGCGGCGCCUGGGUCUAUACCCGACACCGUAGUUAACUCCGGGGCUUAU